UACGUAGGUGGCAAGCGUUGUCCGGAUUUAUUGGGCGUAAAGCGAGCGCAGGCGGUUCCUUAAGUCUGAUGUGAAAGCCCACGGCUCAACCGUGGAAGGUCAUUGGAAACUGGGGAACUUGAGUGCAGAAGAGGAGAGUGGAAUUCCAUGUGUAGCGGUGAAAUGCGUAGAUAUAUGGAGGAACACCAGUGGCGAAGGCGACUCUCUGGUCUGUAACUGACGCUGAGGCUCGAAAGCGUAGGGAGCAAACAGGAUUAGA
rnacentral:rRNA from 1 species